rnacentral:rRNA from 1 species
CUACGUAGGUGGCAAGCGUUGUCCGGAAUUAUUGGGCGUAAAGCGCAUGUAGGCGGUUUGGUAAGUCGGUCGUGAAAAUGCGGUGCUUAACGCCGUAUGGCGAUUGAAACUGCUGAACUUGAGUGCAGGAGAGGAAAGGGGAACUCCCAGUGUAGCGGUGAAAUGCGUAGAUAUUGGGAAGAACACCGGUGGCGAAGGCGCCUGUCUGGACUGUGUGUGACGCUCGUAUGCGAAAGCCAGGGUGGCGAACGGGAUUAGAUACCCCGGUAGUCCGGGCCGUAAACGAUGGGUACAAGGUGUGGGAGGUAUCGACUCCUUCCGUGCCGGAGUUAACGCAAUAAGUACCCCGCCUGGGGAGUACGGCCGCAAGGCUUAAACUCAAAGGAAUUGACGGGG